rnacentral:lncRNA from 1 species
UUAAUGUUUGUUUAUCAAAUCAAUUAUAAGUUGACUAUAUUUACUAUUCCGACUCGACAUUCAAUUUAUUUUUUAAACUUAUUUUAAUUUGAACAAUCAAAAUUAACUUGACCAAGUGCAACGCACGAGCAUUUUUCUAUUCUUAUUCUUAUUAUCCUAUAGUGCACAAACUUAAUUUACUUAUCAUCGUCAUCAUGUGACACAUACUAACGGCCUAAAUCUGUCCACGUCGAAUCGGAUGCCAUACGAACACGGCCUAAUUAACCCCUUUUAUAUCCAAGCAUCUUCCUAUCCCCCGUUGUCAACACCCGGUGUGGUACUAAAACAAACCUGCUCUCCCGGCCCAUUGGCCAUUUCAGCGAUGGACUUGCUCUCGAGGUUGCGAACUUGAUUGCAGGAGGCCGAGGAGGACAUGGCUGCAACCGUAGAAUGAGCUCCGUUUCCAGCAGCAGAGUGGGCAGCUCAAAUCGGGUACGUUGCGUGCCCGCCUUUUUCCGACGCGAGACGGAGAGAGAGCGGUGGCGGCCGUCCAGCCGGCGCGGCGGGCGUUAAGGCCGGCCGGCCCAGUGGCUCGAGCGCGCGAGCGAUCUCGUCUCCCCAUCUGCCCCUGCGUGCGCGUAGUCAAUGCGCGCGCGAGCGAUCUCGUCUCCUCGUACUAGUACAAAAGAGAGGGCACGCGGUGGCGCGUAGGUACAGCUACUCGCUCGUCCUCGCGGCGCCGGGGCGUCGGCAUGGCGAUGGCUGCUCGUCUAGCGCUCGGCGUCUUACUCUUGUUCUUCGUCGUCGUCGUGGUGCAGGCGCAGCAGCGAGGCGGAGGCGGAGGCGGAGGCGGAGGCGGCGGCACGACGCUCCNNNN